AAAUAUUGGGACAUAUAUAAAAAAACAACUCUGUUCUGCAGAGUAGCUGUUGGCAUUAUAGUUGUUCAGGAACUUUGUUGACUCUAGAGAACCUCGGGCCAAUCGCACAUCCCCGUGGCGGCGACUUUGCAUGCAAAUGUCAUCCAUAUUAACUUUCGAUGCCAGUUUCUGCGCCUACCAUGGUGACCACGGGUAAUGGGGAAUCAGGUUUCCAUUCCAUACAGGUGCCCUGAGUAAUGGCUACCACAUGCAAGGAAGACAGCAGGCGUGCAAAUGACCCACUCCCGACGCGGAAAGGUAGUGAU